rnacentral:lncRNA from 1 species
UUAUCUUAACUCUAAAGAGUGAAUUUCAGAUAACAAACUCAGAUGAUGGCUAGGGUCCUAUUACGUGAAGCAGGAGUUUUCUUGGUAUCCUUAAUUUUUACCACCACUACUUGAACUGUCCGCUAACCUCAGCCUCCACUUCAGGGAAAUGUCAUUGGGAAAUCUCCUACGUAGAUUUUCAUCUUAUUUAAUUUUAGCUAAUGAUUCAUUCAUUAUUCACCCAUUUAUAUGAUUUGGUAAUGAGUUGUUCAAAAAAUUGAGAAGUGUAAGGAGAAGACAGGAAAGUCUUCCUCUCACCCUUUCCCCAAGUACCCUGAUAUUCUCCCUAAAAGCAGCCCAUGUUACCAGUUUCUUGUGUAUCCUUCUCCUCUGUGGUGUUUUUUAUCAGAGUAAUUAUGAAGGACUUUCCUCAUCCAGUGGACACAACUCAUUCAGAAGGAAGCAGUCUGUUCAACAAAAUUCUCCAGGGGAAGUUGCUCUCCCAGGAUCAGAUUCAAGGAGGAAGAUGACUUGGGCAAAGGGUACAAACCUCCUUAUGAGGAGCAGCAUUCCCUCUGGUGCAGAGCUAACUGUGUGGGGCAGAGCUCUAAGCCUCGUACUGGUGUUACUGGCUUGGUGCUCUAAGCUAGUAAAUAGCAUGGCACCUGGCAACUGAGUAGAAGAGCAGAGGUGUACGAGGCCCUGAGGGAGAUCUGUUAUUGCACAAGUUCUCUGCUUUUGGCAGUGGAACAUACAGGGUGCCAUUCCAGGGGUCUGCCUGAUUUGCAAAUGUUGUUCAUUUGUGGCUACCAUACAAGGGCCUGUCAACCGAUAACCGUUUGGGAACAAAAGCAAACCAGUGCUGACUUCCCACUUCUUGUACUGUGGCUGCAGGGGUGAGGGCUGCAUGGGGUGCAGGGUGCAAGUCAGUACAUUCUUGGCCUGAGGACACCGUGACCCUCAUCAGUGGUACUACCCAUGGGCACAACCCUCAUGGCAGAUGUUUAGUUAUGUGCAACCCAGAAGUCAACCAAAGCUCUCAGAGAUCUGAUUAAACUUGACCCAAACCCCAAAGCCAAGCCUUGUGAGAGCCUGGAAUCCACGCCCCCAUUUCCAUGAGUGUCCGUAGUGUAUGUUGUCAUGCCUCGCUCUGCCAUCACACCCUCUCGUCUGAGUGUGCUGCCUGGUGCUGCCCUGCAUCAAUUCAAGGAGCAAAGCCCAGUUCCAUCCCUGCUCUUCACAAAAGUCCACUCGCACCCGGGCCUUUGAAAACCAAACCAACACACAGACACAAGGUGUGAAGUUACUCUCCGUGCCUUCUGCUCUAUACUUCCUUGCCCGGUUCCGGGUCGUGAUGUUCCCUCCCUGGAC